AAGGAUUUAAGUUAAUAAAACUAGUAACCUUCAAAGUUACAAAUAAAGAAAAACUUUAAGCCUUA
rnacentral:tRNA from 1 species